CUGCAGCUCAAGUGGUGGCCGCUAUUAUUGGGCCUAAAACGUCCGUAGCCGGUUUAGUAAAUGCCUGGGUAAAUUGUGUAGCUUAACUAUACGAAUACCGGGUAGACUGCUAAACUUGGGACCGGGAGAGGCUAGAGGUACUCCUAGGGUAGAGGUGAAAUUCUGUAAUCCUAGGGGGACCACCAGUGGCGAAGGCGUCUAGCUAGAACGGGUUUGACGGUGAGGGACGAAGCCCUGGGGCGCGAACCGGAUUAGAUACCCGCGUAGUCC
rnacentral:rRNA from 1 species